AACGAACGCUGGCGGCAGGCUUAACACAUGCAAGUCGAGCGCCCCGCAAGGGGAGCGGCAGACGGGUGAGUAACACGUGGGAAUCUACCCAUCCCUGCGGAACAACUCCGGGAAACUGGAGCUAAUACCGUAUAAUGUCUACGGACCAAAGAUUUAUCGCUGAAGGAGUAGCCCGCGUCUGAUUAGGUAGUUGGUGAGGUAACGGCUCACCAAGCCCGCGAUCAGUAGCUGGUCUGGGAGGAUGAUCAGCCACACUGGGACUGAGACACGGCCCAGAAUCCUACGGGAGGCAGCAGUGAGGAAUAUUGGACAAUGGAGGAAACUCUGAUCCAGCCAUGCCGCGUGAGUGAUGAAGGCCUUCGGGUUGUAAAGCUCUUUCGGGUGUGAAAAUGAUGAUGGUAACACCAGAAGAAGCCCCGGCUAACUCCGUGCCAGCCGCCGCGGUAAGAC
rnacentral:rRNA from 1 species